GACGAACGCUGGCGGCGUGCUUAACACAUGCAAGUCGAACGGAAAGGCCCUGCUUUUGUGGGGUGCUCGAGUUGAGACGUGGUGAGUAACCCGUGGGUAACCUGCCACUGCCGUUGAGGUUACUUCAUGCAACUUGGGCUAAUACCGAAUAGAAGAUCCUGCUGCAUGUUGGGGGUUGGAUGGUUUGGGAGGUUGGGGAUGGACUCGCGGCUUAUCAGACUGUUGGUGGGGUAGUGGCGUACCAAGGCUUCGACGGGUGGACGGGCUGAGAGGGGGACCGGAGACAUUGGGACUGAGAUACGGCGCAGACUCCUACGGGAGGCAGCAGAGGGGAAUAUUGCACAAAGGGCGGAAGCGUGAUGCAGCAACGCAGCGUGCGAGAUAACGACCUUCGGGGGGUAAACCGCUUUCGCCUGAGACGAAGAGAGAGUGACGGUAAUGGGUAAAGAAGCACCGGCUAACUACGUG
rnacentral:rRNA from 1 species